rnacentral:piRNA from 1 species
UGGCAGUCUGAGUACCACAACUGUCU